GGGUUGUGAGGUUAAGCGACUAAGCGUACACGGUGGAUGCCCUGGCAGUCAGAGGCGAUGAAGGGCGUGCUAAUCUGCGAUAAGCGCCGGUAAGGUGAUAUGAACCGUUAUAACCGGCGAUACCCGAAUGGGGAAACCCAGUGUGACUCGUCACACUAUCAUUAACUGAAUCCAUAGGUUAAUGAGGCGAACCGGGGGAACUGAAACAUCUAAGUACCCCGAGGAAAAGAAAUCAACCGAGAUUCCCCCAGUAGCGGCGAGCGAACGGGGAGGAGCCCAGAGCCUGAAUCAGCAUGUGUGUUAGUGGAAGCGUCUGGAAAGGCGCGCGAUACAGGGUGACAGCCCCGUACACAAAAGCGCAUGUGCUGUGAGCUCGAUGAGUAGGGCGGGACACGUGGUAUCCUGUCUGAAUAUGGGGGGACCAUCCUCCAAGGCUAAAUACUCCUGACUGACCGAUAGUGAACCAGUACCGUGAGGGAAAGGCGAAAAGAACCCCGGCGAGGGGAGUGAAAAAGAACCUGAAACCGUGUACGUACAAGCAGUGGGAGCACAGGUUUACCUGUGUGACUGCGUACCUUUUGUAUAAUGGGUCAGCGACUUAUAUUCUGUAGCAAGGUUAACCGUAUAGGGGAGCCGUAGGGAAACCGAGUCUUAACCGGGCGUUAAGUUGCAGGGUAUAGACCCGAAACCCGGUGAUCUAGCCAUGGGCAGGUUGAAGGUUGGGUAACACUAACUGGAGGACCGAACCGACUAAUGUUGAAAAAUUAGCGGAUGACCUGUGGCUGGGGGUGAAAGGCCAAUCAAACCGGGAGAUAGCUGGUUCUCCCCGAAAGCUAUUUAGGUAGCGCCUCGUGAAUUCAUCUCCGGGGGUAGAGCACUGUUUCGGCUAGGGGGCCAUCCCGGCUUACCAACCCGAUGCAAACUGCGAAUACCGGAGAAUGUUAUCACGGGAGACACACGGCGGGUGCUAACGUCCGUCGUGAAGAGGGAAACAACCCAGACCGCCAGCUAAGGUCCCAAAGUCAUGGUUAAGUGGGAAACGAUGUGGGAAGGCCCAGACAGCCAGGAUGUUGGCUUAGAAGCAGCCAUCAUUUAAAGAAAGCGUAAUAGCUCACUGGUCGAGUCGGCCUGCGCGGAAGAUGUAACGGGGCUAAACCAUGCACCGAAGCUGCGGCAGCGACACUAUGUGUUGUUGGGUAGGGGAGCGUUCUGUAAGCCUGUGAAGGUGGCCUGUGAGGGUUGCUGGAGGUAUCAGAAGUGCGAAUGCUGACAUAAGUAACGAUAAAGCGGGUGAAAAGCCCGCUCGCCGGAAGACCAAGGGUUCCUGUCCAACGUUAAUCGGGGCAGGGUGAGUCGACCCCUAAGGCGAGGCCGAAAGGCGUAGUCGAUGGGAAACGGGUUAAUAUUCCCGUACUUGGUGUUACUGCGAAGGGGGGACGGAGAAGGCUAUGUUGGCCGGGCGACGGUUGUCCCGGUUUAAGCGUGUAGGUGUGUGUUCCAGGUAAAUCCGGUUCACUUUAACACUGAGGCGUGACGACGAGGCACUACGGUGCUGAAGCAACAAAUGCCCUGCUUCCAGGAAAAGCCUCUAAGCAUCAGGUAACAUCAAAUCGUACCCCAAACCGACACAGGUGGUCAGGUAGAGAAUACCAAGGCGCUUGAGAGAACUCGGGUGAAGGAACUAGGCAAAAUGGUGCCGUAACUUCGGGAGAAGGCACGCUGACACGUAGGUGAAGUGAUUUACUCAUGGAGCUGAAGUCAGUCGAAGAUACCAGCUGGCUGCAACUGUUUAUUAAAAACACAGCACUGUGCAAACACGAAAGUGGACGUAUACGGUGUGACGCCUGCCCGGUGCCGGAAGGUUAAUUGAUGGGGUCAGCGCAAGCGAAGCUCCUGAUCGAAGCCCCGGUAAACGGCGGCCGUAACUAUAACGGUCCUAAGGUAGCGAAAUUCCUUGUCGGGUAAGUUCCGACCUGCACGAAUGGCGUAAUGAUGGCCAGGCUGUCUCCACCCGAGACUCAGUGAAAUUGAACUCGCUGUGAAGAUGCAGUGUACCCGCGGCAAGACGGAAAGACCCCGUGAACCUUUACUAUAGCUUGACACUGAACAUUGAGCCUUGAUGUGUAGGAUAGGUGGGAGGCUUUGAAGUGUGGACGCCAGUCUGCAUGGAGCCGACCUUGAAAUACCACCCUUUAAUGUUUGAUGUUCUAACGUGGACCCGUAAUCCGGGUUGCGGACAGUGUCUGGUGGGUAGUUUGACUGGGGCGGUCUCCUCCUAAAGAGUAACGGAGGAGCACGAAGGUUGGCUAAUCCUGGUCGGACAUCAGGAGGUUAGUGCAAUGGCAUAAGCCAGCUUGACUGCGAGCGUGACGGCGCGAGCAGGUGCGAAAGCAGGUCAUAGUGAUCCGGUGGUUCUGAAUGGAAGGGCCAUCGCUCAACGGAUAAAAGGUACUCCGGGGAUAACAGGCUGAUACCGCCCAAGAGUUCAUAUCGACGGCGGUGUUUGGCACCUCGAUGUCGGCUCAUCACAUCCUGGGGCUGAAGUAGGUCCCAAGGGUAUGGCUGUUCGCCAUUUAAAGUGGUACGCGAGCUGGGUUUAGAACGUCGUGAGACAGUUCGGUCCCUAUCUGCCGUGGGCGCUGGAGAACUGAGGGGGGCUGCUCCUAGUACGAGAGGACCGGAGUGGACGCAUCACUGGUGUUCGGGUUGUCAUGCCAAUGGCACUGCCCGGUAGCUAAAUGCGGAAGAGAUAAGUGCUGAAAGCAUCUAAGCACGAAACUUGCCCCGAGAUGAGUUCUCCCUGAGACUACGAGUCUCCUGAAGGAACGUUGAAGACGACGACGUUGAUAGGCCGGGUGUGUAAGCGCAGCGAUGCGUUGAGCUAACCGGUACUAAUGAACCGUGAGGCUUAACCUUACAACGCCGAAG
rnacentral:rRNA from 1 species